GGGGAUUUAGCUCAGCGGUAGAGCGCUUGCCUAGCAAGCACAAGGCCCUGGGUUUGGUUCCCAGCUCCG
rnacentral:tRNA from 1 species